rnacentral:lncRNA from 1 species
UUUUUUUUUUUUGGAUAUUAUUUGUUUAAAAAAUAUUUAAUCUCAAAUUUUAGUUUUUGGAUGCCAUUUAUUUUGACGCUAAUUUUUUAUGUAGCAUCUAUUAUUUUAAAUUACAUCACUUUUGAUCUUUGGUGGGAUUUAAUAUAUUAUGAGUAGGCGGCAUAGGAUGGGGUAUCUGUCUGUCAGACACAACUUGAUGUCUCACCUAUCUCUUUGCCUAUAAAAAAUAAAAUCUUUCGUAGGAUUUCACAGUGGAAAAUUGUCGAUGUUACUUAUUAGACAUUUUAACUGAAGAUGUAGUGUUAAUCUAACUUAUAAGAUUGCUCUUAGUCUAUUAUGAUGAUACAACUUAGUGUAUGCUCCCUUUUUAAGCCCACCAUUAUGAUGAAUUGUUUUGUUAGUACUUGGAUAUCAUUUUUCUAAUUUUUUUAUUGUAAAAUUUAGUUUUUUAAUGUCAUUCGCUUUCAUGAUAUUUUUUUAUUCAACCUCAAUUAUUACAAAUUCCUUUACGUUUGGCCUUUGGUUGGAUGUAAAAAUGCAAAAUAGCAGUCAAUAAAUUACACACUUAUUAUUAGUUAUUUUAAAAUGAUGUGAUUUUUUUUUAAUUAAGUCUUAUUUGUUGAUAAAAUAAUUACCCAAAAAUCGUCAACUUCAAAAAAUUUAUAUAACUGCGGGAACAUUCAGACAAAUACAUUCACAUUCACAUAUCGCACCAUUCACAUAUAACUGCGGGAACAUUCAGACAAAUACAUUCACAUUCACAUAUCCACAUUCACGUGAAAAGUUAUUUUGACAAUUAAAAAGUUUUCUAACACCAUAUUUUAAUACAUUUAUUAAUGUAAUAGUAUUUUUUUCUUGAUAUAAUCAAAUUUAUUAUUUAAAAUCUUUAAAGAGUAUCUUUAAGACACACGUUAGAGUGCAUUUUUAUAAUAGAGUGUAUUUUUAUAGUGUUGAUGUACUUAAAGAGAAAUUUAAUUAUAAGUUUUUAUAUAACCACUUUACUAUGUAGGCUAAAGGGACAAUAACAACACAUUGAUUUACUUAAGAGACAUUUAGUAAUGAUUUUAAUUAGAACAAAAUUCAAAUGCAUGUGUAAGCAUAGGGCAAAGUCAAAAAUCAAGGGAUCACCAACUUAAGUUUCAAGUUAGAGUCUUAGGCUCUCUAAGUCACAAAUUCUCAACAAAAAUGGGCACUCACCUCACAAAAUCACUCAUUGUAGAAGAAUGUAAUUGAGUCUCACUAAAUUGUUUAUCAGCGAAUAAGUCCUGCUAUAGGGUUGACAAUAAACCUACUUUUCUACUAUUUCUCUUGUGGAAGCAAACAUGAAUAAAAAAAGCACUCUUUAAAGUGCUUCAUUUUCAUUAUACAUGCUUCACAAGAAAAUAGCUUCAAAAAGGUUACAAGUAAAAUUCUAGAGGAACANNN